rnacentral:rRNA from 1 species
ACACUCCUGCGGGAGGCAGCAGUGGGGAAUAUUGCACAAUGGGCGCAAGCCUGAUGCAGCCAUGCCGCGUGUAUGAAGAAGGCCUUCGGGUUGUAAAGUACUUUCAGCGGGGAGGAAGGCGAUAAGGUUAAUAACCUUGUUGAUUGACGUUACCCGCAGAAGAAGCACCGGCUAACUCCGUGCCAGCAGCCGCGGUAAUACGGAGGGUGCAAGCGUUAAUCGGAAUUACUGGGCGUAAAGCGCACGCAGGCGGUCUGUCAAGUCGGAUGUGAAAUCCCCGGGCUCAACCUGGGAACUGCAUUCGAAACUGGCAGGCUAGAGUCUUGUAGAGGGGGGUAGAAUUCCAGGUGUAGCGGUGAAAUGCGUAGAGAUCUGGAGGAAUACCGGUGGCGAAGGCGGCCCCCUGGACAAAGACUGACGCUCAGGUGCGAAAGCGUGGGGAGCAAACAGGAUUAGAAACCCGUGUAGUCCCAUGA